UACGAAGGGGGCUAGCGUUGCUCGGAAUGACUGGGCGUAAAGGGCGCGUAGGCGGUUUGUACAGUCAGGUGUGAAAUUCCCGGGCUCAACCUGGGGGCGGCACUUGAUACGUAUGGACUGGAGUGGGGAAGAGGGUCGUGGAAUUCCCAGUGUAGAGGUGAAAUUCGUAGAUAUUGGGAAGAACACCGGUGGCGAAGGCGGCGACCUGGUCCUUGACUGACGCUGAGGCGCGAAAGCGUGGGGAGCGAACAGG
rnacentral:rRNA from 1 species